rnacentral:rRNA from 1 species
UACGGAGGGGGCUAGCGUUGUUCGGAAUUACUGGGCGUAAAGCGCGUGUAGGCGGUUCGGUAAGUCUGCUGUGAAAGUCCAGGGCUCAACCCUGGGAUGCCGGUGGAUACUGCCGAACUAGAGUGCGGAAGAGGCGAGUGGAAUUCCCGGUGUAGCGGUGAAAUGCGCAGAUAUCGGGAGGAACACCAAUUGCGAAGGCAGCUCGCUGGGACGUUACUGACGCUGAGACGCGAAAGCGUGGGGAGCAAACAGG